rnacentral:rRNA from 1 species
GACGAAGGGGGCUAGCGUUGUUCGGAAUUACUGGGCGUAAAGCGCGUGUAGGCGGUUGUUCAAGUCAGGUGUGAAAGCCUUGAGCUCAACUCAAGAAAUGCACUUGAUACUGGAUGACUAGAGGACCGGAGAGGAUAGUGGAAUUCCAGUGUAGUGGUGAAAUACGUAGAGAUUGGGAAGAACACCAGUGGCGAAGGCGGCUAUCUGGACGGUUUCUGACGCUGAUGCGCGAAAGCGUGGGGAGCAAACGGG